AUUGAACGCUGGCGGCAUGCCUUACACAUGCAAGUCGAACGGCAGCACGGGUGCUUGCACCUGGUGGCGAGUGGCGAACGGGUGAGUAAUACAUCGGAACAUGUCCUGUAGUGGGGGAUAGCCCGGCGAAAGCCGGAUUAAUACCGCAUACGAUCUACGGAUGAAAGCGGGGGACCUUCGGGCCUCGCGCUAUAGGGUUGGCCGAUGGCUGGUUAGCUAGUUGGUGGGGUAAAGGCCUACCAAGGCGACGAUCAGUAGCUGGUCUGAGAGGACGACCAGCAAACAGGGGACGGAGACCGGGCCAAAACCCCUAGGGGGGGCAGAGGGGGGGAAUUUGGGAAAAGGGGGGAAAGCAUGAUCAAAAAAUGCCGGGGUGGGGAAGAAGGCCUGGGGGUUGGAAAGCAUUUUUGCCGGAAAAAAAAUCUUGGGCCCUAAUAGGGGGGGGGGAGGAGGGAACGGGAAGAAAAAGCCCCGGCAAACUACG
rnacentral:rRNA from 1 species